rnacentral:rRNA from 1 species
AACGAACGCUGGCGGCAUGCCUAACACAUGCAAGUCGAACGAACCCUUCGGGGUUAGUGGCGCACGGGUGCGUAACGCGUGGGAAUCUGCCCUUUGCUUCGGAAUAACUCAGGGAAACUUGUGCUAAUACCGGAUGAUGUCUUCGGACCAAAGAUUUAUCGGCAAGGGAUGAGCCCGCGUAGGAUUAGGUAGUUGGUGGGGUAAAGGCCUACCAAGCCGACGACCCUUAGCUGGUCUGAGAGGAUGAUCAGCCACACUGGGACUGAGACACGGCCCAGACUCCUACGGGAGGCAGCAGUGGGGAAUAUUGGACAAUGGGCGCAAGCCUGAUCCAGCAAUGCCGCGUGAGUGAUGAAGGCCCUCGGGUCGUAAAGCUCUUUUACCAGGGAUGAUAAUGACAGUACCUGGAGAAUAAGCUCCGGCUAACUCCGUG